ACUGACGCUUAGGCUCGAAAGUGUGGGGAGCAAAUAGGAUUAGAUACCCUAGUAGUCCACACCGUAAACGAUGGGUGUUAAACGUCGGGAUUUAAUCUCGGUGUUGUAGUUAACACAUUAAACACCCUGCCUGGGUAGUACAUUCGCAAGAAUGAAACUCAAACGGAAUUGACGGGGACCCGCACAAAGUGGUGGAGCAUGUUGUUUAAUUCGACGAUACACGUAGAACCUUACCUAGACUUGACAUCCUUGGCGAAGUUAUAGAAAUAUAAUGGAGGUUAACCGAGAGACAGGUGGUGCAUGGUUGUCGUCAGCUCGUGUCGUGAGAUGUUGGGUUAAGUCCCGCAACGAGCGCAACCCUUAUCGUUAGUUAUUUUGUCUAACGAGACUGCCAACGCAAGUUGGAGGAAGGUGGGGAUGACGUCAAAUCAUCAUGCCCCUUAUGUCUAGGGCCACAAACGUGCUACAAUGGUCGGUACAAACAGUCGCUAAUUCGUAAGAUAGAGCUAAUCUGUAAAGCCGAUCUCAGUUCGGAUAGAGGGCUGAAAUUCGCCCUCUUGAAGUUGGAAUCACUAGUAAUCGCGAAUCAGCCAUGUCGCGGUGAAUACGUUCUCGGGUCUUGUACACACCGCCCGU
rnacentral:rRNA from 1 species